GGCUGGUCCGAAGGUAGUGAGUUAUCUCGAUUGUUCUCAGUCAGUUACAGAUCAAACUCCUUGUUCUACUGUUUCCCCCUUUCUCACUACUGCACUUGACUAGUCUUUA
rnacentral:Y_RNA from 1 species